AGUGAACGCUGGCGGUAGGCCUAACACAUGCAAGUCGAACGGUAGCACAGGAGAGCUUGCUCUCUGGGUGGCGAGUGGCGGACGGGUGAGGAAUACAUCGGAAUCUACUCUGUCGUGGGGGAUAACGUAGGGAAACUUACGCUAAUACCGCAUACGACCUACGGGUGAAAGCAGGGGAUCUUCGGACCUUGCGCGAUUGAAUGAGCCGAUGUCGGAUUAGCUAGUUGGCGGGGUAAAGGCCCACCAAGGCGACGAUCCGUAGCUGGUCUGAGAGGAUGAUCAGCUACACUGGAACUGAGACACGGUCCAGACUCCUACGGGAGUCAGCAGUGGGGAAUAUUGGACAAUGGGCGCAAGCCUGAUCCAGCCAUACCGCGUGGGUGAAGAAGGCCUUCGGGUUGUAAAGCCCUUUUGUUGGGAAAGAAAUCCAGCUGGCUAAUACCCGGUUGGGAUGACGGUACCCAAAGAAUAAGCACCGGCUAACUUCGUGCCAGCCGCCGCGGUAA
rnacentral:rRNA from 1 species